UUUGACAGUGGUUGUUUGUUUCAGUACUUGAUUUAAUUUCUGACCAGUAAAUAUUGCUUAUCAACAAGUGUUGCUUUGGGGUUUUCAUAUGCCCAAACUCAUAAUCUUCUGACACCAAUCACCAUACGUGCACUGUGGAACUCCGGCGUGAUCUUGCUUCUCACCUCUCUUCAGGUUAAACCUUGGAUUAAGACAAGUCUCAAUCCAGGUUCCGGUGUUGUUACCAAAUAUCUCCAUAAGAGGUAUUGUGUUAGGAUAUGUGGAUUGGAAAGAUAUUGUGAGAAUGCAAAAUUUUCUGUUACUGUUCGGUAAAUUUUGAUCAACAAGGUUUCCACAUUGUUGGUUAUGGCUGCA